rnacentral:rRNA from 1 species
CACGUAGGGGGCGAGCGUUGUUCGGAAUUACUGGGCGUAAAGGGCAUGUAGGCGGCUCUAUAAGCCCGGCGUGGAAGCCCAUGGCUCAACCGUGGGAUUGCGCUGGGAACUGCAGGGCUUGAAUCAUGGAGAGGGAGCUAGAAUUCCUGGUGUAGGGGUGAAAUCUGUAGAGAUCAGGAAGAAUACCAGUGGCGAAGGCGAGCUCCUGGCCAAUGAUUGACGCUGAGGUGCGAAAGUGUGGGGAUCAAACAGG